UACGUAGGUGACAAGCGUUGUCCGGAUUUACUGGGCGUAAAGAGCGCGCAGGCGGUCGUUCAAGUCGAGUGUGAAAGCCCCCGGCUCAACUGGGGAGGGUCAUUCGAUACUGAUCGACUCGAAGGCAGGAGAGGGAAGUGGAAUUCCCGGUGUAGUGGUGAAAUGCGUAGAUAUUCGGAAGAACACCAGUGGCGAAGGGCGACUCAC
rnacentral:rRNA from 1 species